UUACAUUAGAGUCUAAUUAGAUUUCAGGAAGACAGGGUGCUGCAGCAGCUUCAGACCCCACAUCAGCGUGCACCAUAUGGCGCCCAGCUUCCACUGUAAAGCCUGGAUUAAUUUGCUCACAUUAAGUUUAACCCUAGCCGAGGUGCUUCACCAGUGAGUUGAUUAAUGGGCUAAACAGCAACGAGGAAAGGCUGGUUGUUUCUGGCAUUCGUUAUGCGGUAACGAGCUAGGUGCAACGGCCUAAAAUUAGAUAGCUGAUGAAGGGAAGCUGCAGGUCGAUCUCAGCACACGUCUGGCUGGCAGCCUCUGGAAAUGUGAAGUAGCCCAAGAUAUCUUGGCGGGAUAUGGUGCCAAGCAAGUUGAAGAUAUCGAUGGAGGAAAUGAAGUGCAGGAGCACCGAAAACUGCCAGUUAUGUGUUGCAACUGUUACAGUUUGUAUGACAUUCGUGUCACGAGGCCCCAGUCAGGAUCUGAGCCCCAUUGUGCACAUUCCUGUCCAGCCAUUUCUUUUUUCCAUCUUGCUGCACUGUCAGAAUCGGUUGCACUUUUUUGUUUUCAGCUGUCACCCGGUCUCGCUGCCAUUGGAAUUGAAUUUAUCAGCUGUGUCACGGAGAUGUCGCCACAGAAAGAACUGCAAAUAG
rnacentral:lncRNA from 1 species